AUGCCAUGAGGAGGGCAUUUUCUUAGUAACUCUUUGAACCGCUCCCAUGCUUCAUAUAAAUAUUAUUCAUCAAGUUGUUGAAAUGAAGUAAUCUCAUUGCAGAGCUU